rnacentral:tRNA from 1 species
UCCGAAUUGGUGUAGUGGCUAACAUUUGACGCUCUCAUGGCAAGGUGCCGUCAAGCCCGGGGUUCGAUUCCCCGAUUCGGAG